rfam:Echinostoma caproni strain Egypt genome assembly, scaffold: ECPE_scaffold0000111
GGCCUCGUAGCUCAGCUGGUAGCGCAUGCGCGUACAAAGCGUAGGCGGUGUCCAUGCGUGGGUUCGAAUCCCACCGAGGCUA